rnacentral:rRNA from 1 species
UACGAAGGGGGCUAGCGUUGCUCGGAAUCACUGGGCGUAAAGCGCACGUAGGCGGAUUGUUAAGUCAGGGGUGAAAUCCUGGAGCUCAACUCCAGAACUGCCUUUGAUACUGAAGAUCUUGAGUUCGGGAGAGGUGAGUGGAACUGCGAGUGUAGAGGUGAAAUUCGUAGAUAUUCGCAAGAACACCAGUGGCGAAGGCGGCUCACUGGCCCGAUACUGACGCUGAGGCACGAAAGCGUGGGGAACAAACAGG